CUACAAAAAAUAUUGCUUCAUUAGAAAAACGACAAAAGACCUUUUUUGUUAUAUUUUAAAUCUAGUUGGUGGCUAAGAAAAUCACUUUUUAAUUUGUCUAGUAGAUUUUUUAAUAAUUUAGCAAAACCGAAAAAUAUGUAGAAAUUACGUUAAAAUUUACGAAAAUAAUUUUGAUAUUAUUUUUAAUUUUGUUUCUUUUUUUAAAUAUAAUUAUAGAGAUUGGACAUUUUGACUG